GCCGUGCUGCAAAACCGGUGAUUAGAGACAACCCUGAACCGCUGAAGCCGCCUUCUAGAGCACGUUCCGGAGCUCACGAGCCUCCACGCGCUGUGCGUGCUGUGACCCGCGCGGGCUCCAGCGUCUCUGCCACGUCCAGGCUCUGCUCUUCUGCAAAAAGGACGCUGCCGACCUCCAGGAUGAAUGCGGUCGCUACUAUUGCAGGGCAGCGCUGCUAAGCAUUAAAACUGAAGACAGAGGGCAGCCCAGUUCCUGGUCUGAGUCCACCUGGGUGGAGUUUUAAUGUGACCCCGCGCCAUGCUCCACUUCCUGCUGUCCACCAGCCGCCCGCACUGACCCCGGGUCUCCUGCCCCCGGCCUGGGCCCCUGAGCGCGUGUGUCUAGGUUCCUCCCUUCUCUGUCAGCCUUCUCCCUCUUCGCUUCAUUCUGAGUAUGUUUUCUAGUGUGUCUCAGCUCUCGAUCAUCUUUGCUGUUUCUUUUUUUGUCUGCUGUUGUUAGACUUCUUCAAGUUCUCAGCUUUGUCUUCUGCUUUGCUUCCUGGGGUUCCCCAG
rnacentral:lncRNA from 1 species